rfam:Sphaerobolus stellatus SS14 unplaced genomic scaffold SPHSTscaffold_2, whole genome shotgun sequence.
GGUUCGGUAGUUCAGUUGGUGGAACGUCUGCUUAACAGUAAAAUUUAAAAGAACUCUGCGUCCUGCGUCGCAGAAGGUCAUCGGUUCAAGUCCGGCCCGGAUCG